rnacentral:tRNA from 1 species
GUGUCUGUAGCUCAGAAGGUAGAGCUUUGGAUUGUGGUUCCAAAAGUCAUGGGUUCGAUUCCCAUCAGUCACC